UACGUAGGGGGCAAGCGUUGUCCGGAAUCAUUGGGCGUAAAGAGCGUGUAGGCGGCCCGAUAAGUCCGCUGUGAAAGUCCAGGGCUCAACCCUGGGAUGCCGGUGGAUACUGUCGGGCUCGAGUCCGGAAGAGGAGUGUGGAAUUCCUGGUGUAGCGGUGAAAUGCGCAGAUAUCAGGAGGAACACCAAUGGCGAAGGCAGCACUCUGGGACGUGACUGACGCUGAGGAGCGAAAGCGUGGGUAGCAAACAGG
rnacentral:rRNA from 1 species